rnacentral:rRNA from 1 species
UACGUAGGUGGCGAGCGUUGUCCGGAUUUACUGGGCGUAAAGGGAGCGUAGGCGGACUUUUAAGUGAGAUGUGAAAUACCCGGGCUCAACUUGAGUGCUGCAUUUCAAACUGGAAGUCUAGAGUGCAGGAGAGGAGAAUGGAAUUCCUAGUGUAGCGGUGAAAUGCGUAGAGAUUAGGAAGAACACCAGUGGCGAAGGCGAUUCUCUGGACUGUAACUGACGCUGAGGCUCGAAAGCGUGGGGAGCAAACAGG